rnacentral:rRNA from 1 species
UAGAGGUUGCUUGCAACCUUGAGACCGGCGCACGGGUGCGGAACGCGUAUGGAACCUGCCCCUGUCAGGGGAAUAGCCCAGGGAAACUUGGAUUAAUGCCCCAUGGUAUCGUUGUAUCGCAUGAUAUGAUGAUUAAAGAUUUAUCGGACAGGGAUGGCCAUGCGUACCAUUAGUUAGUUGGCGGGGUAACGGCCCACCAAGGCAGCGAUGGUUAGGGGCCCUGAGAGGGGGAUCCCCCACACUGGUACUGAGACACGGACCAGACUCCUACGGGAGGCAGCAGUGAGGAAUAUUGGACAAUGGUCGCAAGACUGAUCCAGCCAUGCCGCGUGCAGGAUGACUGCCCUAUGGGUUGUAAACUGCUUUUAUACGGGAAGAAACGCACCUACGUGUAGGUGUCUGACGGUACCGUAAGAAUAAGGACCGGCUAACUCCGUGCCAGCAGCCGCGGUAAUACGGAGGGUCCGAGCGUUAUCCGGAAUCAUUGGGUUUAAAGGGUCCGUAGGCGGGCCUGUAAGUCAGGGGUGAAAGUUUGUGGCUCAACCAUAAAAUUGCCUUUGAUACUGCAGGUCUUGAGUCAUGGUGGGGUUGCCGGAACAUGUGGUGUAGCGGUGAAAUGCAUAGAUAUCACAUAGAACACCGAUCGCGAAGGC